rnacentral:rRNA from 1 species
CCUACGGGGGGCAGCAGUAAGGAAUAUUGGUCAAUGGACGAAAGUCUGAACCAGCCAUCCCGCGUGCAGGAUGAAAGCCCUAUGGGUUGUAAACUGCUUUUAGCAGAGAAGAAAAGCUUUCAUUAAUGAGAGUCUGACGGUAUCUGCAGAAUAAGCACCGGCUAACUCCGUGCCAGCAGCCGCGGUAAUACGGAGGGUGCGAGCGUUACUCGGAAUUACGGGGGCGAAAGCGGGCGAAUAAGGAGGUGGAGAAAUCUUGUCGCUUAACGUUAAAAUUGCCAAUGAUACUGGUACUCUUGAAUUGGGUUGAGGUUAGCGGAAUGUGACAUGUAGCGGUGAAAUGCAUAGAUAUGUCAUGGAACACCAAUUGCGAAGGCAGCUAACUGGGCCUUGAUUGACGCUGAGGCACGAAAGCGUGGGUAGCGAACAGGAUUACAUACCCCUGUAGUC